AUUACGUCCUCGCCCCAGUACACGUGGUGAAGGAGCAGCUGGACUGGACCAACAAUAUCACAAGGAGUGUUUUCAUCUCAUCUCAUCAUCAAAUUCGAGAGGUUGAGAACUCCAUAUCAGAGGCAGGGCCAUCUACAAAAUAUCCAUGUACAGACUGGUCAAAAGUAAAGACCCCAAGUCCUAAACAGACCUGUGGACCACAGCACACAGAAAGAUCCAUCCAUCCAUCCAUAUUUUAUACCACUUAUCCUUUUCUUCAGGGUACACCCUGGACAGGGUGCCAAUCCAUCACAGGGCACAAUCACAUACACACUCACACACCCAUUCAUACACUACAGCACACAGAAAGACAUGCCACUACAGGACACUUUAGACAUGCCAAUCAGCCUACCGUGCGCCCCAAAGAAAGACCAUAAAGGCCAUAAAUCUGCUAACAGCAUGAAGAAACCCAAUACAGAUAAAGUAAACCUUCAAAGAUAUCACCGUGAACAUUCCUGGCCAGAAAAGCCUGGUAGAUUUGUGUCUGAAGGCGUUAGGGAAACCUACACUGAUGACAUUGAGGCUUUAUCUUGGGCUUUAUUUAAUAAUCUUAAAGGUAAAGCAUCUCAGGAACUUAGGCAUCCAGUUAUUUUAAAUAAUGACACAUGCAUAAUAUAUGAUUUCGAAAUAGAAUGGGCGGGUAAUAAGUACAAUUGGUUAAAAUUUAAUUUGUUUACAUCUGAGGAUGACAUUAAUUGUGUUUUAGACAACUGCUAUGAACUUAAGUGCAGUGAAGACAUCCUGAAUGUGAUUGUACACUACGCAAGUGUUGGUGAAAAGGAUCCCAAAUAUUUAAUGUUAAAUGGCUGGAUUUAUAAACUGUAUCCAAUGAAGCUUUAUGUAUUUCUAGUAGGAAAACAACUCACUAGAAAUGAAAAUGCAGAUAAAAUAAAAAAAGUUAUUGAAGGACAGCAUAAGAAGUAUGAAUAUAAAGACAUUCGAGAAGGAAUAAGUAACUGCAAAGAAAAUAGUCAAGAUUUAUAUGUUCUGUAUGCUGAGUAUGCUCAGUACUUCAGAGAGACUUUACUGGGCAUCUAUACACACGGAACUUUUGACCCCAAUAAGGAAGCUUGGUUUACUACAUACUUUUUAGCAACAGUGAUUUCAGAGUCUGCAAGAAAUUUUAGAUCAUUUAUCAUCACACUCAUAGCUUUAGAUCUGAGUCUCAGCCAAAAUCUUGAAACCCAAAACAAGGGCCUCGAGUUUCUUUUAGAGAACCUUCCAAUGGCGAAAGGGGGAACCUGGAUAAACUCUGAUAGAAGGGGGUUUCAUGGGGCAAGCACUGUGGGAGGUGGGAAAAACACAAAACUUAAAAAGCUAAUAGAAGAAGAGGAUAAAAUGUUUGAGACAUGGCUUUCAGUCAGUAGUAAAACAAAGAUUGAUACAGAAAUGAUUAAACGUCUCCUCAAGUUGUUAUAUGGUGAACUCAGACUCAAUAAAGAUCCCUCAGUUCUAGAAACUUUUAUUACAAAUUUUAUAGAUUUUAAAAAGGAAUAAAUUAUUUAAUUCCUCCUGAAUUACUGAGAGGAUUCCUCCAUGAUUUACAACUCAAAUCUUUCUGCACAACAAUGAUGUAAGAUUCAUCAGACAACAUUCAGAAUCUAUAUCUGUACCUACAUGAUAAAAGCUGCUCACCUCUGACACCAUCAGUACAGACACUUGUCUGUUCAGCUUUUUCUACAGACAACUCUAAAAUAUCUAUAAAUCCAGAUGUUCUGUCCUCACUAAACAUGUGGAUUCUGUUUCACCAACACUUUAGUACAUACCCUGAAGAUUUAAGCUUAGGUCUUUGGAAGAAGAGGGGUAUACUUCACUGUACAGACCGGUUUAUGGCUGAAACGUUAUUCUGUUUACAUUUAAAUAAUUUCUUUUCUAAAUUUAUCCCACUGAAAUGCCACGUCUUUAUAGACACUGUAAAACAACAGUGCUUCAUUUUCCUAUUUUUUCCAUCUGAAAUUUUUUUAAACGGUUCAUUGAUGAGACCACACAACUUCAGCAGUUUUAUAUCUAAUGCAACAUUAAAAAUAACACCCAGUACAUCUCUAAAUUUAUCAGUAGCCUCCUCUCUGUAUAUCAUAGAACACUCGGAGCAGUGUGACAUAGCGUCUCUACAGACCAGGUGGAGAAAAGAGUUUCAAUUACGCUAUUCCUCAUUCUGUGUUUACUCCAGCUUUACAGAAUUUCACAGAAUACAUCUGCAGUCUGACUGUCAGCAGCUAAACUAUUCCAGUCUCUAUCUAAAUUAUCCCAGUCUGUAUGGAACUAGAAACAAUUCUAGUCUGUAUGGAAGUAGAAACAAUUCCAAUCUGUAUGGAACUAGAAACUAUUCCAGCCUGUGCAGGAAUGGAAACAAUUCUAUUCUUUGUGGAAAUGAUUCCAGCAGGUUUUAUUUCUGCUGUGUAUACCCCUCUUCUCUCCUUUAUAAAAAGUGAUUCAGGCUUUUAGAACUGUGUACCAUGACACUUUUCAAGAAAUAUACAUUUAUGUAAAAAUAGAUUUUUAAAAAAAUCAAUACAUUUAUUAUAAAUGUACUGAAAUUUUUUGACAGUGAUUUUAAAUAGUUGAUUUUAUAUACGUGGGAACAUUCUUCGCACUGUAAAGUGGUGCUAUCACAUAAAUAGGGAAAGUAUGAGUGGCUCUGAGGGGAGAGCUUUGAGAGGAACCGAUGGCAUUUAAGCCACGGGGGUCAAACUCGAAGUGAAGAUUCCCUUUUCCCCAGAUGCACUUAGUGCUCCCUACUCUCCUCAGUGGACAGGACUCAUGUCAGGUAGGAAAAGUGAAUAGUCCAUGAACAGUGUUUGGAAUAAGAGUCAGAGUUGUUUGGUUGACUAAUGUCAUAUAUAUAUAUGUAUAUAUAUACACA
ensembl:lncRNA